GACGAACGCUGGCGGCGUGCCUAAUACAUGCAAGUCGAGCGCGGGAAGCAGGCAGACCUCCUUCGGGAGAGACGCUUGUGGAACGAGCGGCGGACGGGUGAGUAACACGUAGGCAACCUACCUGUAAGCCUGGGAUAACUCCGGGAAACCGGGGCUAAUACCGGAUAGGCACCGUUUGCGCAUGCGGAUGGUGUGAAAGGCGGGGCAACCUGCCGCUUACAGAUGGGCCUGCGGCGCAUUAGCUAGUUGGUGAGGUAACGGCUCACCAAGGCGACGAUGCGUAGCCGACCUGAGAGGGUGACCGGCCACACUGGGACUGAGACACGGCCCAG
rnacentral:rRNA from 1 species